UGAAAGGUUACAGAAAAAAAACACAGGGAAAUGCUGUGUACAGGCAAAGGACUUCCAGUCGGUUGGCCGUGAAAGUGCACCUUUGGGGCCAAGACCUUGAUAGAAGAGGUCUUCAAGAUGAAUAAAAAUGCUCCCUCCUGUCCUCUGACUUGCUGAGCAGAGAUAAGACUGAACAAAGACAGAUUUUUAAGAGGACGAAAAGAAAAAAAUUAACAGCUCAGAUUUUAAAAGAGAAAGAAGGUACUCAACUGCUACUAUGUCCACACCUAGGGAAGAAGGUAGUACUGUUUACAGCCACAGAAGACGACUGGAAGAACUAGGAAAGCUUGCUUCCCAGCAUUACUGUUGCACAGCAAGAGGGAGAAGCAAAAUAUGGCACAACAGAGACUGUUUUUAAAACAGAAGGGAUGAUGUUCUUUGAACUACUGCACUCUCUUCCCUGCCCAUAGGAAACAUUAUUGACAGUCCAUGAAAAGUGCCGUUGCUGUGUCUGGUUUACCAGAGUAGAGACCACACUCCCAGCUGUUUGAAGAAGUUGCCAUGCCUUGAUCUUUGUCAUGCUUGUGUAGUGAUGCGCCUGCCUACAGCUUGCAGCUAUGCUUUACCUGAAAAAUACUUUCAGGCAUAUAACAUAUCC